GAGAGUAAAACAGUACGUGAAAUUGUUGAAAGGGAAACGCUUGAAGUCAGUCGUGCCGGCGUUGGAUUCAGCUUGCUUCGCGGAGCAGGCGCAUUUCCGCGCAUGGCAGGUCAGCGUCAGUUUUGCGCGGCGUGAAAAGGCUCGGGUAAGGUAGCUCUCUUCGGGGAGUGUUAUAGACCUGGGCAGAUGCGCUGCGCGGGACUGAGGAUUGCAGCGGACACCUCUUCGGGGGCGCGGCGACCGAACCCUGCUCGGCCACCCGAGUUCGAUAGCGUGCUAACGGACGCGGGAGCGGCAGUGCACCGGAACAGGCAAGCCAGCGGUUCGCUUAGGAUGCUGACGUAAUGGCUUUAAACGA
rnacentral:rRNA from 1 species